AAGAACAGAAGGUUUAUAGAUCGAUACAAACCCUCAGUCAUCUUCUUCGUCUUCUACUUCUUCACUUCCAAAAUGUUCAAAAAGUUUUCGUAUGAAGAUGUAUCCUCACAGAACCAAGUGAAGGCGUCUGUGCAGCGAAAAAUUCGACAGAGUAUUGCAGAUGAGUACCCAGGACUUGAACCUGUUUUGGAAGAUUUGCUUCCAAAGAAGUCCCCUUUAAUUGUUGCCAAAUGUCAGAAUCAUCUGAAUCUGGUGAUGGUGAACAAUGUCCCCCUGUUUUUUAAUGUCCGUGAUGGGCCUUACAUGCCUACCCUACGACUUCUUCAUCAAUAUCCAAACAUAAUGAAAAAGUUACAAGUAGACAGGGGUGCAAUAAAAUUUGUCCUUGCUGGUGCAAACAUAAUGUGUCCUGGACUUACAUCUCCAGGUGGUGCUUUGGAUGAAGAAGUGGAAGCAGAAACUCCUGUGGCUAUAAUGGCUGAAGGAAAACAGCAUGCUCUUGCGAUUGGCUUUACAAAAAUGUCAGCAAAAGACAUAAAGGCAAUCAACAAAGGAAUUGGGGUAGACAACAUGCAUUAUCUGAAUGAUGGUCUGUGGAAGGUAGUUCCUUGUGAAAUCUUGUGCUUCUAGUUCAUCCAUGAGCCUUAAAAUGUUGCCAACUUCCAUUUUUAUGUUAUUCAAUUCAAUAGUGAUAGUUGCUACUAAGAUAGGCAUUCUUUUAUGGAACAUUUUAUCCUUCAGAAUUUAAAUUAGUGAAAUAGUUUGGCAUGAGGAAGCACAUUAAAUGCCUGUAUCCUGUAGUACUUGUUAUGCUUGUAUUGAUGUGUUCCAGAUUUUCAUGUCACACUUUAGUUCUUUUUCUGAUGUAGCUGCGCUUUAUAUGUUUACUUUUGAUUUGACACGAUGUGACUGGUAAUAGUGGGAAAUAUGAAUUAUUAAUUAACUAGCUGCAUCUUGCAGAUGGAGCGUCUCGAUUGAAGAUUUGCCAAGAGCAACUGCAGUAACAUCUAAAUUCAAGACAAAGAAAGUUAAGUUUAUUGGCAUCAUGCUUGCACUGCAGCUGUCCGUCUUGUAGAUGUUGCAAAAAGGAGUUGUGUAAAUUUUUGUUCGGUUAUCUUUUUUUGUUUCCUUAUAAACAUUACAGAUAUUGUUUUUACCUCAAAGAUUUUUCCCUUAAUCAGGUUAUUAUGCCUUUUCCUGUACUUCAGUUUAACUCCCCUUCCAGUGGGUGUUCUGAAAUCCAGGAUGUUUGCCCAGUUAACUUACUUAUGUGAUUGGUUUCGAUUGAUGAGGAGAUUGUUUUGAUUUAACAUUAUUUGAAGUAGUGAUUAUUCUUCGUGCUGCCAAAGCAAAGAGGU
rnacentral:misc_RNA from 1 species